CCCCUCUUAGGGUCGCACCUGGAGAGUUCCCAAUACUCUACCAGUCUCGGCUACAGGAGGGAGAGUCAAGCAGAGGCCUACCCAUUCCAUUCCUAGCCUUUGGCUAGCUAGUGGAAGGCAAUCUGCUACAAGU